GAGUAGUAUAUACUAGGAAGUGAUUGAAGUGAGAAGUUAUUGGAGUUAUGUUAACUACGUUUCGUUCUUUAAUGCAAGGCUGAUUUUGGAAAGCUAAAAGUGAGACAAAACCCAUUAUUAAUAUAGAUAGUUCUUUCUUUGCACUUUUGAAUGAGCCAUCCUUUCGCUGAUAUUUGCAGCAUAAGAGUUCAAAACUUGAUGAGGUUGGUGUGAUAAAGGUAGCUGGCUGAGAAUGUGGCAUGCUGUCGCUCAAGUAUUAGUCUUUAGAUGUUAACAGCAGCUUGGAGGGAUUUUUGUCCAUUCAGAUUACUUGAGGUCAAAUGUCGGUGGGCAGGAGUAUAACCUGCAGACGACAGAGAUUGCCGGAAAACGGACUCUGUUUUUAAAGGAGGGCUUUGUAGAUCUCAUGUGCUCUCCUCACUCUUUGUGGCUAAUUCGACGUCGAAGAUUCAAAAUUUUUUACAUUUAAUUAUCUGUUUAGGAGAUGCUUAGUGCUGUGAAUAGAUCAUCAGCUUUUUGGACUGAUGAAUAGGAUUUGGGAAUAAGUGGGGAUGUUGUGAAUGCUUUUAUCUUUCCCCUUAUGUUGAUGUAAAUGACUCUUCGUCUCGUCAAUUGUUGACAACUUGUAAAUGUGAGGUCUUAUGGUGGCAUGUCAUCAAAUGAACUAUUCAUUUUUGUAAGAUUAUUAGUGGAAAGCUUUGUGUGCGCGA